UGUGUAUAGCUGUAGCUACUUUUACACGUGUAUACAGCUCCAGCUGUCCUUAGGGAUGUGAUUUAUCAGCCCGUGGCUGAAGGCAGCGCUAACUUUUUGCAUGGAAAGCCCCAUUCCAGCGCCUCCGCGGCUGCAGGCGGCAGCCCCGCGCCCGGGCCCCUCCUGAGGGUGAGGCGGGCGGGCCGUGGCGCCGCCUGGUGGCGGCUGCGGCGCCGCGCGGCUCCUGCCCCCUGUGCUGCCUGAGGGGGCCGGGCUCGGCCGUGUGGGGUGUCCGGGGGAACGGGGUGUCCGUCGGGGACGGGGUGUCCGUCGGGGACAGGGUGGCUGUGCCAGCUCCACGUGCUGCAAGAUAGCUGCGGGAUGCAUUGUUAGCGCAGCCCUGGCAACCCGCGGUCCUCAGUGCAGGGGCAAAGGGGAUGAUUUCGCCUCCGGCCCCGGUCUGGCCGCCCAGCUCUGGUGAUGCUGGCAGUGAAUGCAGGGGAAGAGGGGCACAGGAGGAGGGAGAUCGGGGGGAGUGGGAGAAUGAAGGGUGAUGGUUGCCUGGGCGGUGGGGCAGGGUCAGAUCCAGCACCGGGGAGGGCAGUGGGGUGAGCCACCAAGAGCUGCCAGAGAGUGUUUGAGGACCACGGCCUGGCUGGGCUGAGCAGCUCCAGGGAUGUUCCUGCCGCUGGGACAUCGGGGCAAGUCUUCCAGCGGCCCCAAGAGGUCUGAGACUCAGACAGCACACGUCUGCUCCCAAGCUGUGGAGCUCAGUUUGAGAUAGCAUUUAGGGGCUUAAUGUCACUGGUUGCUCGGUAUUUUGCCCUGGUAAACUGGUUGAAUGUGCACUGCCACAUCCAUGCAAAUAAAAUUAAAAAAAAAAAAAAAAAAAAAAAAAAAAAAAAAAAAGAUAAAAAAUUGUAGCUCUGCUUGCAGGAAGUUAGGCUUGCAACUUUUACCAGUCACCUAGCAGAUUGUUCUAGUAUGAAAAGCUCCACUAAAGCAUUGCCACCCCAUGCCCUGUACCUCCCUGAGCACCCCUGUGGAGCUGGCUAAGCCCCCCAAGGGACCCAACACAGGCAGCCGUGGGAUGCUCGGGGCUGGAGCAGCUCACUGGCAGCCCUGGCACACAGAUGCUCCACGAGGGUCAGGCACGAGCUAACUGAAUGCAUAACUUUAUUAAAUAAAUGCUUUGUCAUGAGAAAAGACAAAGAUCAAAGAGUAACAUAAAUUAUAAGUUGAAUAAAUAGUAUACAGCAAUCUUCACUUUUUAAUAAAAUGUGAGAUUUUUUUUUUAAGUACAAAAUGCUAAACAGAGCAUUAAGCUCUUCUUCCAUUGUCAGUUUUUCACAAACUGCUUUUUUUUUUUUUCCCACCAGUAAGAUUAUGAGUAUUUCUUGUUUACUGGAAAAAAAAAAACAAAACAACAAAACCAAAACGAAACAACAGAGCUACCGUAUGUAUGUAAAGCUAUAAAAAGCUACCGUAAAAUGUGUAGUGAGUAUUGCUUAAAGAUAAAAACCAGGCAGGAAACUCGGAAUCUGGUGUGUUUUAACAACUGUGUUACAACGGUGGGUAACGUGCGUGGUGACGUCUGUCCCGGUGGCAGUGGCGGUGGCUGGUGGGGCUGGGGAGGGGGCCACAGCAGGCAGGGCUCCUAGCCAGGGCCAGGACAGCGGUCUAGAAACGAGGUGAACUGACAGUUCUUUAAAUAUACAAUGCUCCAUUUGGGGGAAAAAAAAAUCAACAAUGACAACAAAACAAAAAAAAAAAAAAAAGAAAACCAACAGCAAAGAAUUUUCAUGGGGAAGGUGGAGAAAAGGGGAAGGGGGGAGAGAGCGGAGAAAUAGUGCAAAAUGCUCUUGUACUAGUGGUUUUCGAAGUCCACUGCAGUACAGACAAGGGGUAGCCCAGCCACUGAGCGCCGCUCCCUGGGCAGAUGUGGUGGAAGGGCUGUCCUGAGCCAUCCUUGUCCUCUCCUUCCCAGCUCACAUCCUAGGUACCAACGUGGGCUCAGCACAAAUACCGCAGCCAGAGACCCCUGAGCCUCACGACCCCCCGAUGCACAAAUUGCUGGCAUCUCCUGGUGUGCCUCAACCCUCCCCAGCUUCCAAAUCUGCCCCUUCUGGUUCUCUCAUCCUAAAUGCAGAGGGGUGCUGCUGGGUGUUGAGAAUGGGAGCACCUCAUCGCUGCCACCUCAGAGGGUGACCAAGUCCUCCUGAAGUCACUCUCAAUCCCAGCCCAACCCAGGCUCCAACCCCAGUCCUAAAUAUUAGUGCAGCCUGUGAACAGCCUCGUCCUGCUGGGGAUCCUUAAGGGAGUGGGCAGCUGGGGGGGUCACUUGGUGCCCCAUCCUGGGAGCUGAGGUGAUCUGGGGGGUGAGGGUGGUGCACCCCAAAUGUCCAUCAUCCUUUCCCCCAGGUUUGUGGGGACAGGACAGGCAAUGCCAUCCCAGCAUGGGGUGCGCAGGGGUGAGGGAGGCUGUGUGGGAUGGAUUUUGGUACUCUGGGCUCCCAGGGCCACGUAGACUUGCUUGGUAGGGAGAGGACAGAGCAUUGCCCUGUGUUCCUCCCCAGUAUCUGUGGUGGCCUCAUUGUGACACCACCAUGGGGCCCUGUGAGCCAACCCUCACCCUGCAAAAGUAUCCUCGCCAAAAGGCAAGUUCCAUGGGGGUCUGAUGCCCUUCCCAUCCCACCCCGGGGCACGUCUCCUUUCUCUGCAGCCAAAGGCUUUCAAGUUUUGGGAAAUUAAACAAAAAAAAAACAAACAAAAAAAAAAGCAAGAAAGAGGAAGAGAGAAGGAAGGAAGGGUCCUGGGAAAGGUGGUACUGGCCUAUGACAGUCAGGAGGUUUUGCACAGGGAUCAGCAAGCGGACAGUGUCAAAAAUGGUGUCCAGUGGCCCUUGGGGAUCUCCUCCCAGCACCAACAUUGUGGAGACCCUUGUCAGGGAUAAGCAAGAGGUGAGAGUCCCAAAAUCAAAUGCAAAUGUUAAAAACAAGAAAUGAGUUAGGAAGGCAGCUGAGGGCUGUCCCAGCAUGCCCAAGGCAGUGGGUCUCCAUGGAGCAGUGGCUGCUGUCACUCAACAAGGCCCCAAAGUUAAAGGCAAGGGCCCAUCACAGGAUCUUACUGCAGGGUCGUGGGAAUCAGCCGUGGCAACAUGAGCAGUAUCCUCAAUGCAAAAGGAUGGCGUUUUCCUACCCAUAUGGAAAGCUAUAAACCAGCCUUAACAAAAAACCAAGAUGAAACAAAGUGGAGGUUUGGGGGUUUUUUGCCCCUGGAGCAAACCACAUUUUC